CCCGGGGCAGGAGGCUCGGCUCGGCUCGGCACGGCUCCUCGCGGCUUCUCCGCGCCCGCGCUCAAGUCCGGCCCGCAGUAAAACUCCGGUGAGGAUGCCCGGGAAAAAAAAAAAUAAAAAAUAAAAAUAAUGAUAAUCAAAAAAAUCCACGCAGCCAAAUAAAUAAAUAAAAAAGGAACCCCUGGAGCGGCGGACGCCAAUGACCCAGUCGGCAAAAGCACGGAUCCGGCCAACAGAUAGGCACGCACACGGCAGCCCCUGCCAAGCUUGCAGCUCCUGCUCAAUUGUGCAUUCCUCUCGCGGCGCAGGGGAGGCAGGCGAGCGCGCAGCAAGUAAGGCGCCUCCCACCAGAGCCUAAUGGUGGUUUCUUAAUGCGCACAAGAUAAAUAAAUGAUCCGGGCAAAGCCCUCGGGAGGGUGGAUGCUUCGGCUAGCAGAGCCUGGGAAAGGGAGGAAGAGAAAGGAAGGAAGAGAAGAAGAGAAAAGAAAAAGGGGUAACUGCGGAACGCCUGAACCCAUCCGGCGGCGGCGCGGCAGUAACCCACUGCGCUGUGCCGCACGGCAAAAAGACGCGUGGAGGGAGGGAGGUGGAGACACCUUCAGAGAGGAUUCCUCGCCAACGACCGGGGCUCGGGACGAGAUGCUUUCUGACGCUGAUGCUCUCUGAUGGCUAACAAUGAACAGCGUUUGUUGUUUGUGAAAGGGAUUCCCUCCAGGAAAGCGCAGACCAGCAGCAGCCACCUGCAACAAAAGGACAGCCCUCUUCGGCAGCCGGGGCGAGGGAUGGCACGGGCACACGUCUCGCGGCUACCAGGAUGCUCCCAGACAAGUGCGGAUGCUGAGGCUGCCCCAACUCCUUCGUCUACUUCAGACGGUUACGUUCAUUGUGACUGUGACCGACAGUGUGUGCUUCCCUCUCACCUUCUGGACAUUUAAACACUUGGGGUGGUCACUGAAGCGUUAACAGCGCGGUACCAAAGGGUGAGCUUAAUGCCGUUUGCCAAAUUUUAGAGAAUGGUUUAUAAAACCAUGUAUGUGCAAUAGCUUUUAACCCCUUCUUCUAAACUAUUAAACCAUUGGCGUCAUUUCCUGGUAAUGACACUUCGGUAUAAUUUCCUUAGUCACUUAUGUAGAAAUGUAUUAAUAUUUAUAUGGAAUAAUUGAACAGGAAGAAAAUGGAAACAAAAUGCAAAACAUUUUUUGUUGUUGUUGUUGUUGUUCUGUCUAUACACAAACAGAAAAUAAGAUGCUGGUUAUGAAGGUGGAUAGUAAAAGGACAAGGGGGGAUGGUUCUAAACUGAGACAGGGGAGGUUUAGGUUAGAUAUUAGAAAGAAGUUUUUCACCCAGAGGGUGGUGAGGCACUGAACAGGUUGCCCAAGGAGGCUGUGGAUGCCCCAUCCCUGGAGGCAUUCAAGGCCAGGCUGGAUGUGGCUCUGGGCAGCCUGGUCUGCUGGUUGGCGACGCUGCACAUAGCAUAGGGGUUGAAACUCAAUGGUCACUGUGGUCCUUUUCAACCCAGGCCAUUCUAUGAUUCUAUGAAGAUAGUGAAGCUGAAAUGUAUCUGCCUGAUUUUUUUGUUCAGAAGGAAUGUUAAUAGCAAGUAUAAUACGAGAAGUACAUUAAGAAGACGUCUAGAUUAUUGUCACUUGAAGUAAUCCAACUGGAGCUUGGUGGCUUCUCUAAGACAGCCCUAUGCUAAAAGGUACUAGGAAAUCUCCAGAAGCUGCUGAUCAGCUAAGUGCAUCCUUCAGACGUUUCUUGUUUAAAAACAAACAACUAAACAACAACAACACUUCGGCAUUGGAGAGAAUUAAUAUACAGAUUUCUAUCCAUUGAUUGAAGACAAUCGGGUGAAGGCAUUUAGAAACAACCACAAGAGCAUUGCACAGUACUCAAGUGGACACCUACUAAAGCAAGUAAUUGAGUAAGACAGGGAUGACUUGGAUAUCCACAGAGGCUUUGUCACUGAUUUUUUGGAACCUGAGAUUUCUUAUGAACAUGUAGAACUAGGUGCUAACAGUUGUGAGGGUCAGUACUGCACGGUCAUAGAAUCAUAGAAUGGCCUGGGUUGAAAAGGACCACAAUGAUCAUCUAGUUUCAACCCCCUGCUAUGUGCAGGGGUCACCAACCACCAGACCAGGCUGCCCAGAGCCACAUCCAGCCUGGCCUUGAAUGCCUCCAGGGAUGGGGCAUCCACAACCUCCUUGGGCAACCUGUUCCAGUGCAUCACCACCCUCUGGGUGAAAAACUUCCUCCUAAUAUCUAACCUAAACCUCCCCUGUCUCAGUUUAAAACCAUUCCCCCUU
ensembl:lncRNA